CACCCACUGCAGAACCUUUGUGAUGAUACUUUAUCCCUAUAUCUGGAAUGUAUAGGAAUGUAGCCUGAAAAUACAUAUGUAUUUCUAUGUAUUUCUAUUUCAGUUGGGCUCAGAUUGCAUGUUAAAGUUGGAUUUAGAAGCAUAAAAAAAUUAUUUUACAAUAUCUGGGGCUUAUAAAUUUUAGUUUAAUAUUCAGAUACAUUUGCUGUUGAAUGUAAUUCAACUGUUUCCUUAUCUUUUUUCUUACUGUUAAAUGUUUAAUUAUUUCAGAUCUGUUAUCUUGCUGGUUCAGACUUCCCAACUCUCAAAUCAUCACUGAAGAAACCUUGCUGCAAAGCUUAACUCCAUCUAGUCCUCAUUUCCUGCCUCCACACCAUUUUCUGCCAAUGUUCAUGUUAUAUGGCAGGAAUGUCAGAAGAGGAUUCCUCCCCUACCUUUAUUUCUCCUGCACACGUCCUCAGGUAAAUGAAUUCUUCCAAAAAUGUAUACCUUGAGAAGGACAGUCAGAUUCAGGCUGACCUGGUGCUAAGGGUGGAGACUCUGUUAUGUUCCCACAUAGACAAAUUCACUAUUGA
rnacentral:lncRNA from 1 species